GGUUUGAGCCACUGCACCCGGUUUCAUUGUAGCUUUUAAUAUAAAAGAUAUUUUUCAAAAGUACCAUUAGUGACUCUUUUAAGCAAUGAGAGGAGCAGGGUUGUUGGAAACCAUUUACCAACCAAAGUAUUUGUGUUAGGCUUGUUAUGAGUACUUUGUACCCAAAAUGAAGUUCUCCAUACUAUUUAGGGGUCAAAAAAGUUGUUUUAAAAUUCUGCUUCAUUUCUACUAAAUUAGAAAAUUCAAAGCAAAAAUGUUAAAUAAAAAAUGGAAAAAAAAAAACAUGAGUGAGAUGGGGCUGACCAUAAUGGUUAAUAUUAAAGCUCAGUAUCUGGUGGUCCCUGAUUGCAUCCUGGUUCUGUCACUUAUGGGCUGUGUGACCUGGAGACAGUUUCUUGAUAUCUCUGUGCUUGAUUCUUCAGCUGCACAGUAAGGAUAAUACUGCCUAAAUCCUAUGGUUUUGGUAAAAUUAAAGCAAUUAAUGCAAAUAAAGGUGUCAGAAGAGUGCCCAGCAUAUAGCAAGUGCACAGAAAAUUUAUUAGCUCUGGUGAUUUGUAUAGUUUUUUAGAUCAGGACCAAUGUUAAGCCUGGGAACAACAAGGUGGCCACACCAGGGGGUUGUAAUCCACGUUCAUUUUAAUUGGUCAGUUUGGGAAUAUAAUAGUCAAUGGAUAUUUUUAAUAUUAUCCUUGGCAAAUUCUCAUAUAUUCUCAUACAGCAUGAAUAUAAAUACUAAAGAAAGAUCCCUCAUUUUGUACUGCUCUUUACUACUCUAGUAACACUAGAUAAUAAGCACUUAAAUGCUGAGUGUUUGUCAGUUUUAAAAUUAGAGAAAGAGACAAAUUGUUUUCUGAUCUACUUGCUUAAUAAAUUAUUUUUUGCCAACUAAUUUUUAGGUUUACUUGGUAAAUUUAAAGGUAGUUUAAAAUGUAUAUUUAAAUAACUUUUCUCUAUAAUUGAAGAAAAUAAUUUAUCUUGAGAGAAUUUUACUUUAAACAGUUGCUUUAGAGUCUAUCUUGUAAAGUAUUCUAUUUUCAAAUAAAGCCGGGUGCAGUGGCUCAUGCCUGUAAUCCCAGCACUUUGGGAGGCCGAGGCAGGCAGAUUACCUGAGGUCGGGAGUUUGAGACCAGACUGACCAACAAGGAGAAACCCCAUCUCUACUAAAAAUACAAAAUUAGCUGGGUAUGGUGGCGCAUGCUACCAGCUACUCGGGAGGCUGAGGCAGGAGAAUCGCUUGAACCCAGGAGGUGGAAGUUGCGGUGAGCCGAGAUGGCACCAUUGCACUCUAACCGGGGCCACAAGAGCGAAACUCCGUCUCAAAAAAAAAAAAAAAAAGAAAGAAAAGAAAAGAAAGAAUUAUAUUAUUCUGAACAAUGAUAAUUAACAUAUUUUAUUAUUGAGUGAUAGGUUCACACUAUUCAUGAUAUCAAAAGUUUACUUACCAACAUCACUAAGUAACCAAGCUGUGUGUAAUUAAAAAUAAAUGCAUAUCUUUCCUGAAAUUAUAAGAUAUGAAGAAUCAUUUAUUUCUCUGGCCCAAUUUUUAAAGUUAAGUUUUACAAAAAAAAAAUGUAUUACUAUAAUAUUUGGUUGACAAAUCAAAAUUGCAUAUUUAUGGGGUACAGUGUAAUGUUUUGAUAUGUGUAUAAAAUAUGAAAUAAGACAAGUUAACUAACACAUCUAUCACCUCACUUACCAAUCAUUUUUUGUGGUGAGACAUUAAAACUUACUGUUAGUUAUUUUGAAACAUACAUACAUUAUCAUUGACUAUAAUCACCCUACUGUGCAAUAGAUCUCAAAACCUCUUUAUUUUGUCUGUAAAACUGCAUUCUUUUAUCAACAUCUGCCUCUGGUAAACAAUUAUUCCACAUUCUGCUUUGUUAUUAAAACUUUAUUAGAUUCUACAUAUAAAUGAAAUCAUGCAGUACUUUUGUUUGUGUGCCUGGCUUAUUGUACUUAGCAAAGUAUCCUCUAAAUGUAUCCAUAUUUUUUCAAUUGACAAUAUUUCCCCCCUUUUUAAGGCUACAUGGGAUCCAUUGUGUAUGCUAUUAUUCUAAAUGUAUACACCACAUUUAGAAUAAAAUUGUAAUUUAAAUAUAUAUUCAUCUAUUGGUUGGAAAACUCAUGUAAUGGAAAAAUAUUUGUGUGAAAGAAUGUAUUAACAUAAUGCAGCAUAUAAAUAUCUAGUUAAUAAUAGCUAAUUUGUACUGAGCAAUAACCAUAACACUAUACAUGUGUUAAUAAAUUUUGUUUUCACAGUGAUAUGGUCUGGCUGUGUCCACACCCAAAUCUCAUUGUGAAUUGUAGUUCCCAUAAUCUCUGUGUGUCAUGGGAGACACCUGGUGGCAGGUAAUUGAAUCAUGUGGUCAGUUACCCUCAUUCUGUUCUCAUGAUAGUGAGUUCACAUAAGAUCUGAUGGUUUUCUAAGGGGCUUUUCUCCCUUUUGCUCAGCACAUUUUCUCUUCUUGUCACCAUAUGAAAAAGGACAUAUUUGUUUCCCCUUUCAUUAUGAUUGUAAAUCUCCUGAGGCCUUUCCAGCCAUGCUGAAUUGUGAGUCAAAUUAACCUCUUUCCUUUGUAAUUUACCUAGCCUUGGGUACAUCCCUACAAAAAUGUGAGAAUGGACUAAUAGACACAGUAACUUAAUAACAAAGGUAUUAUUAUUCUUAAUUUACAAAGAAAAAAAACAGAGCUAGAGAGAGAAAUAACCUGCUUACAAUAGCAGAGCCAGUAUUAAAACACAAGCAACUUUGACUCCGGAGAUAAUACUCUUGAAUACAAUAAUAAAAACCAUUUCAAACAGAAAAGAAGUUACCUUUAACAUUCGUUCUUAAAAAUUUAACAAAAAUUUAAAAUGGAUACAUUUGUAUUGUUUUAUAUAUAUGUAUGUGAAUGUAUAAUAUAAAUGAGAACUAUUUCAUGUAAACCAGAAAAUGUUAAUAAUUAUUUUAAUGAAUAAAAUUGAAAAGCAG
rnacentral:lncRNA from 10 species